GAGAGUCUCUGGCUCGCUAGGAGUCGUUUAAAGAAUCCGCGCGAGCGGUACCAGGUGUUAACCGUGCGGUGCGGGACCGAGACGGGUCCUUAGCUUCGGCCCUUUCCCAUCCUCUCUGGUCAGAGGGAAGAAGCUGCAUUCUGGUUCCACAGUUGUUCAGGCCAUAGAGAACGUACCAGCUUUCUCCUCUCGUCCCGUAGUUCCCUGCAGCCUGUGUGACAUGAUACAAGUCAUUUCGCCUCCCUGAAAUGUCAGAAGCCAACAGGGGUGACCCUGAGCUAUCUUGACAGAAAUGCUUUUAAACCUUUUAGGGCUGUCCACGGUUCAAGAGCAGGAAACACAGAAGUCUCAGGGGUGUGAGUGGAGAGGAACUCAGUCAAGCAAUGACACUUGAGGUCAAGAAGCUGGGUCUCCACCCUGUCCCCCAGGCAGUGUACAGAACUCAGCAUUGCUGGUGAAGGUCCCACUGGAGGACACCCAAGUUCAACAUGAUCUUGACAGACCUGUGACUGACCUGACCCUCCCUCCAGUCCUGUGCCACUGACACAUAUGCUUGAUGCCUUCUGCUUUGUCCUAGUACCCAAGACGGUGAGUGAAGCAGGGGUCAAAAGUUCAGUUCUCAGCUGCAUAGUGAGUUUGAGGCCAGCCUGGGUUAAAUGAUACACUGCUUUAACACAAUGAAAUAAAGGACAGGAGAGAUUGGUUUGGA
rnacentral:lncRNA from 1 species